GUCUCUCCGGGUACCUUCAGUACAAGAACGUGCCAAGGAAAAAUCUGCCACAGUUCCAUCACGAUACAUUCAUUCUGAUCAAGAUCCUGUAAUUCUCAGUUCGACAGAUCUACCUGAAGUCCCUGUGAUUGAUAUGGAGAUCUUACUUCAUGGAGAUUUAAUGGACGCUGAGCUCAAUAAAUUUCACCAAGCAUGCAAAGAGUGGGGAUUCUUUCAGGUACACUAUUUUUAAGAUUAAUUUAUUUUUUUAGAGGAUGCUACUUGAAAAAAAAAAAAACUAGAUUACAACGCAUCUUUGCAGUUAAUAAACCAUGGUGUUAGCGAUUCAUUACUGGAGAAGGUGAAAACAGAGGUCGUGGAGUUCUUUAAGCUGCCACUUGAAGAGAAGAGAAAGUUUGGUCAACUGGAUGGAGAUAUAGAGGGAUAUGGACAAUCCUUCGUUGUCUCGGAGGAGCAAAAGCUUGAUUGGGCUGAUAUGAUCUACAUGAUCACCCUUCCUACUGAUCUCAGGAAACCGCACUUAUUGCCACAACUACCUCAUUCAUUCAGGUAACACAAAAUUUCUCUUAUAUUAAGGCUUUUGCAGUAAUUUCUCCUACCUCCCGAAUGAGCCAACUGACAUGCAUCAACCCAUAACAAAUAUGCAGAAAUGCUAUAGAGGAUUAUGCGGUGGAAUUGAAAAGCCUAGCCAUGAAUAUUCUCAAUCUAAUGGCCAAAGCUCUUCAAACGAAUCCUGAGGAAAUGGAAGUUCUCUUUGAAGAAGGCAUGCAAUCAAUGAGGAUGAACCACUAUCCUCCAUGCCCUCAACCGGAACAGGUUAUAGGGCUCACGCCCCACAGCGAUGCUUCUGGCUUCACUAUCCUUUUUCAACUGAAUGAAAUUGACGGCCUACAGAUUAGAAAGGACGGUACUUGGAUUCCAAUAAAACCGUUGCCUUCUGCCUUUGUUAUCAACAUCGGAGAUGUUCUGGAGGUAAAAUUAACUAUUUUAAAUUUUUAUUGCUUGUAAAUGGAUGGACUAACAUGACUUAAUCUGUAGGUUAUAACCAAUGGAACUUAUCAUAGCAUUGAGCAUAGAGGAGUUGUCAACUCAGUGAAGGAGAGAAUGUCAAUUGCUACAUUUUUAAGCCCCAAGGUAGAUGCAGAAUUCGGUCCUGCACCAAGCCUUCUCACGUCCCAAGCUCCUCCAAAGUUUAAAUGGAUUGCUGCUGCAGAUUUCUUUAAAGGAUAUUUUGCACAGAAGCUUGCUGGGAAAUGUUAUCUAGACACUCUACGAAUAUAAACCUAAUAUAUUUGGCUUUAUGCACCUGAGCUUCUUCAGUAAAUAAACCUGCAGCAUCCUACGGAUCGCUAACAAAGAAUCUGCUGCAAUUUCCACAAUGUAGACAGACUUAUUGUCUAUGCAACAGAUUGUAAUAAACUUUUCAUUGCAAUUUCCCUUGUUUCACUCGAGCUUCACGCAACAUUAACAAAUGUAGUCAAAAGUAGAUAUGUAGUAAUCUGCAUAGUUUAGUAAAUGAUGAGCUUAGAGCUAAACAAUAAUUUAUCAGCAAUGAUAGAAUGAAUUAGAAACUCCAUGUAUUUCUUAAAUUAUGCAUAUAAUUUACUUCCGAAUACGAGAACAGUGAAAACAGGAAGCAGUAAGCACACAGGAACUUUGUUUUACAACUCAUAGUCAAGAUUAGGUAACUUAGAGAAGCAUAUAUUUCAUUUAUUCAUUUAAAACUGAAAAAAUGUGCCUAAUAAUCAAGUUUCAUACAUAUUCUUCUGCGAAGAACGAGUUUCACAGGAGCCACAUGUUCGAGCCAAAAUAAUUAAACAAGCCAAGCCAUAUGUAGAUUCAUCAGCCAGAUAGACAUGAUAACAACAAUUGACAACUUUUUCCAAUAUCAUAAGGAAUUCAAACAACGAAAAGGCUAAUGAUGUUAAGUACCAGACAGUAUGAAUGAUGAAAUGUUUGUAUAAAAAGGGCCUAAUUAGUGAUGGUUUACAACUUGAUCAUUUAAUGAACUCUGUUAAGUACGAGGAAGGUUCUCUAAGGAUAGUGACAUGAAAUGGACUUUGUGCACUACAUCCAAUCACAGGUAGUGAAAGAUUUCAUGUGAUUUUUAUAAUGUUGGCUUGUUAAAGAGUAUUGUCUUUGUUUUAUAAUUUUGAGUAUAAAAAUUGAUUAUAGAAAUUUGAAAAUUCUCAAACCCUAAUAUACUCUCUAUUAUUGAAGUAGCCGUCUCUGUCAUCAGUGGGGCUUCCAUCGGUUUUCAACAGUGGAGAGCCCCAAAUCUUUUGUUUGUUUCAUCUUAUUUUUUUCUUUCAAUAAUCUUACUCGUUGAGGAAGGAUUUGUCUCAUUUGAUUUGUUUUUUAGACCUACAUCAUCGGAGCUUACAGUUUACUUUUUUAUUUGAUUGAAGCGGAGCUUAUCGGAUACGAGAGUUACUCGUUCUUCUUGUGGUUUUGACGGUUAGAUCUAAGUUUUUUUAAUUUUCAUUUGUUUUCAGUCUACUUUUAUUUCGAUUGGUAAUUUGUAUUUUCAGGUUGUUUUCUCUCCCUGGUGAGAGCUUUGUUUUUCGCUUCUUAAUUGUAAGCGGGGUCUUGAUUUGGUGAUGAAAGUUUGUAUGGAAUCGCAAGUCGAUAGCUCAAACGAUAGCUCUAUCAGGGCAUGAUGAAGAGGGUAACAAUAAACGAGAAUGCAUGAAGCGAGUACUUGUAUUAGUAUAUACAUUUUCUUCAAAAAAUUGUUUAAUUGUCUCUUUAUAAGAACAGGCGAUUGCAAUAUACUCUUUGUUCGACUCCAUCAUUGGUGUAGAUGUCGUAUGACUUUUUAUUAUUAGAUUAACACUUUUGUUUCAAAAAAAAUUUGAUUAUAAUGUUCGUUUGGUACCUCACAAACUAACAAAUCUUAAUAGUCCCUUCAAAUAUAUACAGAAAUCUCAUGUAAAUUUGGAUUUUGUACAUACAAAUUCAUGAACUUGUCAAUAAAAUGUAGAUUGUCGGAAUGUAUCUUUUGCAUAAAGAAAUUUCGCCCCUCCAAAUUUUUUCUGGUUCCGUCCCUGCGAACGCUCAAUUCAGCUAUAAAUACAUGAGUAAUAUUGCUCUACAGUAUAUUCUAGAUAUUCACCUCAUACACGCACAGUAAGAAAGAAAGAGGUCAUAGCAAUUGAUAGAAAGAAUGGAAGCAUCAAAAGUAGAAAAAAUAGGGAGGUCUCUCCAGGUACCUUCAGUACAAGAACUGGCCAAGGAUGAAUCUGCCACAGUUCCAUCACAAUACAUUCAUUCUGAUCAAGAUCCUGUAAUUCUCAGUUCGACAGAUCUACCUGAAGUCCCUGUGAUUGAUAUGGAGAUCUUACUUCAUGGAGAUUUAAUGGACGCUGAGCUCAAUAAAUUUCACCAAGCAUGCAAAGAGUGGGGAUUCUUUCAGGUACACUAUGUUUAAGAUUAAUUUAUU
rnacentral:lncRNA from 1 species